rnacentral:rRNA from 1 species
GAUGAACGCUGGCGGCGUGCCUAAUACAUGCAAGUCGAGCGAACGGACGAGAAGCUUGCUUCUCUGAUGUUAGCGGCGGACGGGUGAGUAACACGUGGAUAACCUACCUAUAAGACUGGGAUAACUUCGGGAAACCGGAGCUAAUACCGGAUAAUAUUUUGAACCGCAUGGUUCAAAAGUGAAAGACGGUCUUGCUGUCACUUAUAGAUGGAUCCGCGCUGCAUUAGCUAGUUGGUAAGGUAACGGCUUACCAAGGCAACGAUGCAUAGCCGACCUGAGAGGGUGAUCGGCCACACUGGAACUGAGACACGGUCCAGACUCCUACGGGAGGCAGCAGUAGGGAAUCUUCCGCAAUGGGCGAAAGCCUGACGGAGCAGCGCCGCGUGAGUGAUGAAGGUCUUCGGAGCGUAAAACUCUGUUAUUAGGGAAGAACAUAUGUGUAAGUAACUGUGCACAGCUUGACGGUACCUAAUCAGAAAGCCACGGCUAACUACGUG